rnacentral:rRNA from 1 species
AGAGUUUGAUCCUGGCUCAGAACGAACGCUGGCGGCAUGGAUUAGGCAUGCAAGUCGAACGGGAUCUGAGAUGUUCAAGUAGCAAUAUGAGAAUAUUUCAGUGAGAGUGGCGAAAGGGUGAGGAACACGUGAGUGACCUGCCCCUAAGUUUGGAAUAACCUUCCGAAAGGAGGGCUAAUGCCGAAUGUGGAUUUCCCCCUUAUGGGGGGAUAUCUAAAGAUUUAUCGCUUAGGGAUGGGCUCGCGUCCUAUUAGCUAGUUGGUGAGGUAACGGCUCACCAAGGCGAUGAUGGGUAGCUGGUCUGAGAGGAUGGUCAGCCACACUGGGACUGAGACACUGCCCAGACUCCUACGGGAGGCUGCAGUCGAGAAUCUUCCGCAAUGGGCGAAAGCCUGACGGAGCGAUGCCGCGUGAAGGAUGAAGGUCUUCGGAUUGUAAACUUCUGUCACUGGGGACGAAUAAAUGACGGUACCCGGAGAGGAAGUCACGGCUAACUACGUGCCAGCAGCCGCGGUAAUACGUAGGUGACUAGCGUUGUUCGGAUUUAUUGGGCGUAAAGGGUCCGCAGGGGGCCGAUUAAGUCUGAUGUGAAAUACCAAGGCUCAACCUUGGAACUGCAUUGGAAACUGAUUGGCUAGAGCAUCGGAGAGGAGAUUGGAAUUCCUGGUGUAGCGGUGGAAUGCGUAGAUAUCAGGAGGAACACCAAAGGCGAAGGCAGAUCUCUGGACGAUUGCUGACCCUCAGGGACGAAAGCAUGGGGAUCAAACAGGAUUAGAUACCCUGGUAGUCCAUGCUGUAAACGGUGUGAACUUGACGUGGGUGGAUUUAACCCCUUCCGUGUCGAAGCUAACGCGAUAAGUUCACCGCCUGGGGACUACGGCCGCAAGGCUAAAACUCAAAGGAAUUGACGG